AUACGGAGGAUGCGAGCGUUAUCCGGAUUUAUUGGGUUUAAAGGGUGCGUAGGCUGUGCGUUAAGUCAGGGGUGAAAUGCCGUCGCUCAACGACGGAGCUGCCCUUGAUACUGGCGUGCUGGAGUACGGAUGCCGUUGGAGGAAUUAGUGGUGUAGCGGUGAAAUGCUUAGAUAUCACACAGAACACCGAUUGCGAAGGCAUCUCACAAAUCCGUGAUUGACGCUGAGGCACGAAAGUGUGGGGAUCAAACAGGAUUAGAUACCCUGGUAGUCCACACUGUAAACGAUGAUGACUCGCUGUCGGCGAUAUACAGUCGGUGGCCAAGCGAAAGCGAUAAGUCAUCCACCUGGGGAGUACGACCGCAAGGUUGAAACUCAAAGGAAUUGACGGGG
rnacentral:rRNA from 1 species